UACGUAGGGUGCGAGCGUUAAUCGGAAUUACUGGGCGUAAAGCGUGCGCAGGCGGUUUUGUAAGCCAGAUGUGAAAUCCCCGGGCUUAACCUGGGAAUGGCAUUUGGGACUGCAAGGCUGGAGUGCGGCAGAGGAGACUGGAAUUCCUGGUGUAGCAGUGAAAUGCGUAGAUAUCGGGAGGAAUACCGAUGGCGAAGGCAGGUCUCUGGGCUAUAACUGACGCUCAUGCACGAAAGCGUGGGGAGCAAACAGG
rnacentral:rRNA from 1 species